UUAUUUUAGCAGCGGCCGUAUCAUAGCCAAUGAGGUUAAUGCAAGGUGUGAUUAUUGCUCAUUGGAAACUGCCCCACACCCUCCUUCAGUGCUUCUUCCCGGCUGGAAUGUGUCCUCAAAUUCUGAUCAUGCCUUUUG